rnacentral:lncRNA from 10 species
CGUUGGGGUUUUCUGUGCUGUGAUAAGGUUUGUUCGUUUGCAUUUGGCGUCUGCGUUGCCUUUAUGAGCUGUAGCGCUCACUGCGAAAAUUGUCACUUUAUUUCUGAAGUGGGUGAGAUGACGAGCCCGGCAGGAGGAACGAAACACUCAUCUGUGAAAGUUGCAACUUCAUUUCUGAAGUAGAUUUCCCAUUUUGGCCACGCUUCACAUGCGACACAUAUAGAAGUACACAGCAGCUUCCCCCCUUACCUGCAAGGGAUAUGUUCAGAGAUCUCCAGUGGAUGCCUGAAACUAUGGAUAGUACUGAAUCCUAUAUAUACUGUUUUUUUCUAUACAUAUAAUAAAGUUUAUAAAUUAGGUACAGUAAGAGAUUAAAAACUCAAAAUAUGAGUUAAACUCAUAUGCAAUAUAAUAUAUGCAAUAAAAUUGAAAUACUGUCAAACUCU